AGUGAACGCUGGCGGUAGGCCUAACACAUGCAAGUCGAACGGCAGCACAGUAAGAGCUUGCUCUUACGGGUGGCGAGUGGCGGACGGGUGAGGAAUACAUCGGAAUCUACUUUUUCGUGGGGGAUAACGUAGGGAAACUUACGCUAAUACCGCAUAUGACCUACGGGUGAAAGCAGGGGAUCUUCGGACCUUGCGCGAUUGAAUGAGCCGAUGUCGGAUUAGCUAGUUGGCGAGGUAAAGGCCCACCAAGGCGACGAUCCGUAGCUGGUCUGAGAGGAUGAUCAGCCACACUGGAACUGAGACACGGUCCAGACUCCUACGGGAGGCAGCAGUAGGGAAUAUUGGGCAAUGGGCGCAAGCCUGAUCCAGCCAUGCCGCGUGGGUGAAGAAGGCCUUCGGGUUGUAAAGCCCUUUUGUUGGGAAAGAAAAGCAGCAGGUUAAUACCCCGCUGUUCUGACGGUACCCAAAGAAUAAGCACCGGCUAACUUCGUG
rnacentral:rRNA from 1 species